rnacentral:rRNA from 1 species
UACAGAGGUCUCAACCGUUGUUCGGAUUCAUUGGGCGUAAAGGGUGCGUAGGCGGUCGUGCAAGUCGGAUGUGAAAUCUCAGGGCUCGAACCCUGAAACUGCAUUCGAUACUGCGCGGCUAGAGUGCUGGAGGGGAGACUGGAAUUUACGGUGUAGCAGUGAAAUGCGUAGAUAUGUGGAGGAAUACCGAUGGCGAAGGCAGCCCCCUGGGAUAACACUGACGCUCAUGCACGAAAGCGUGGGGAGCAAACAGG